GAUGAACGCUGGCGGCGUGCUUAACACAUGCAAGUCGAACGGAAAGGCCCAAACUUGCUUGGGUACUCGAGUGGCGAACGGGUGAGUAACACGUGGGUGAUCUGCCCUGCACUUCGGGAUAAGCCUGGGAAACUGGGUCUAAUACCGGAUAGGACCACUUCUUGGAUGUUGUGGUGGAAAGUUUUCUCGUUGUGGGAUGAGCUCGCGGCGUAUCAGCUUGUUGUUGGGGUAGUGGCCUACCAAGGCGUCGACGGGUAGCCGGCCUGAGAGGGUGUAGGGCCACAUUGGGACUGUGAUACAGGCCAGAGUCCGGAGGGAGGCAGCAGUGGGGAAUAUUGGACAAUGGGCGCAAGCGUGAGGCAGCGAGGCCGCGUGGGGGAUGACGGCCUUCGGGUUGUAAACUCCUUUCGCUAGGGAAGAAGCGUUUUUGUGACGGUACCUGGAGAAGAAGCACCGGCUAACUACGUG
rnacentral:rRNA from 1 species